AUUGAACGCUGGCGGCAUGCCUUACACAUGCAAGUCGAACGGCAGCGGACUUCGGUGCCGCGAGUGCGAACGGUGAGCAAUAUAUCGGAACGUACCUUCAGUGGGGAUAACGUAGCGAAAGUUACGCUAAUACCGCAUAUUCUGUGAGCAGGAAAGCAGGGGAUCGCAAGACCUUGCGCUGAUUGAGCGGCCGAUAUCAGAUUAGCUAGUUGGUGAGGUAAAGGCUCACCAAGGCGACGAUCUGUAGCGGGUCUGAGAGGAUGAUCCGCCACACUGGAACUGAGACACGGUCCAGACUCCUACGGGAGGCAGCAGUGGGGAAUUUUGGACAAUGGGCGCAAGCCUGAUCCAGCCAUGCCGCGUGAGUGAAGAAGGCCUUCGGGUUGUAAAGCUCUUUCGGCCGGGAAGAAAUCGCACGGGUUAAUACCCUGUGUGGAUGACGGUACCGGAAUAAGAAGCACCGGCUAACUACGUG
rnacentral:rRNA from 1 species